CCCUUAGAUGUUCUGGGCCGCACGCGUGCUACACUGAGUAAUUCAAUGGGUAAGGGAACGCUAGAGCAUUACCUAAUCUUGAAAUUUGCUCGUGAUGGGGAUCGACGGUUGCAAUUUUCCGUCGUGAACGAGGAAUACCUUGUAGGCGCAUGUCAUCAUCAUGCGCCGAAUACGCCCCUGCCCUUUGUACACACCGCCCGUCGCUCCUACCGAUUGAGUGAUCCGGUGAGGCUCUGGGACCUGGACGGAAAGAGCGUUUCGCUUGUUCUGUUUGGGAAACUUGGUCGAACCUUAUCAUUUAGAGGAAGGAGAAGUCGUAACA
rnacentral:rRNA from 1 species